CAAAGGUUGUUUUUAGUACAUUUCUUACUUAAAUUCAAUUAUUAAGAAAUUGUACAAAAUUAACCUGUCCAGAGGUUACUUGUUAUUUUUUUAAGGGGAAUAUCAUACUGUACAUAAAAAUGUACUUAAAAAAAUUUUUUAGGGGCCAAGGGCCUCAAAUAGGUCGUUCUUAGUACAUUUUUUGAACUGAAUUCAUCCAUUAGGCUUUAAUAUUUUUAGUACAAUUUAAUUAGUACAAACCUAUGCGUGGCCAGAGGCCUUUAAUCACAAGGUACUAAAAAUAUUAGAUUCCCCACACAUGACCAGGCAAAGGUUGUUUCUAGUACAUUUUUUAAACUGCAUUCAUCUACUAUAAACUCUAAAAUUGUACACAAUCGACCUGGUCAAAGGUAUCUUCUUUUUUUUUGGAGGGGAUGGGGAGGGGGGAAACCACGUUC